rnacentral:pre_miRNA from 1 species
AAUGUACUCCCUCCGUUCGGAAUUACUUGUCGCGGAAAUGAAUGUAUCUAGACGUAUUUUAGUUUUAGAUACAUCCAUUUUUGAGACAAGUAAUUCCGAACGGAGGGAGUAUGUU